rnacentral:rRNA from 1 species
CUACGGGAUGCAGCAGUGAGGAAUAUUGCACAAUGGGGGGAACCCUGAUGCAGCAACGCCGCGUGGAGGAUGACGCAUUUCGGUGUGUAAACUCCUUUUAUAUGUCAAGAAAAUGACGGUAGCAUAUGAAUAAGCACCGGCUAACUCCGUGCCAGCAGCCGCGGUAAUACGGAGGGUGCAAGCGUUACUCGGAAUCACUGGGCGUAAAGGACGCGUAGGCGGGUUGGAAAGUCAGGUGUGAAAUCCUACAGCUUAACUGAAGAACUGCACUUGAAACUUCUAAUCUAGAGUAUGGGAGGGGGAGAUGGAAUUCGUGGUGUAGGGGUAAAAUCCGUAGAUAUCACUAGGAAUACCUAAAGCGAAGGCGAUCUCCUGGAACAUUACUGACGCUAAGGCGUGAAAGCGUGGGGAGCAAACAGGAUUAGAUACCCUCGUAGUC